rnacentral:rRNA from 1 species
CGUGUAGGCGGCUUGGCAAGUCGGAUGUGAAAUCCCGGGGCCCAACCCCGGAACUGCAUUCGAAACUGCCUGGCUAGAGUCCCGGAGAGGAAGGCGGAAUUCCCGGUGUAGAGGUGAAAUUCGUAGAUAUCGGGAGGAACACCAGUGGCGAAGGCGGCCUUCUGGACGGUGACUGACGCUGGGACGCGAAAGUGUGGGGAGCAAACAGGAUUAGAUACCAUGGUAGUCC